rnacentral:rRNA from 1 species
UAAUUUGAGAGUUUGAUCCUGGCUCAGGACGAACGCUGGCGGCGUGCCUAAUACAUGCAAGUCGAACGAACUCUGGUAUUGAUUGGUGCUUGCAUCAUGAUUUACAUUUGAGUGAGUGGCGAACUGGUGAGUAACACGUGGGAAACCUGCCCAGAAGCGGGGGAUAACACCUGGAAACAGAUGCUAAUACCGCAUAACAACUUGGACCGCAUGGUCCGAGUUUGAAAGAUGGCUUCGGCUAUCACUUUUGGAUGGUCCCGCGGCGUAUUAGCUAGAUGGUGGGGUAACGGCUCACCAUGGCAAUGAUACGUAGCCGACCUGAGAGGGUAAUCGGCCACAUUGGGACUGAGACACGGCCCAAACUCCUACGGGAGGCAGCAGUAGGGAAUCUUCCACAAUGGACGAAAGUCUGAUGGAGCAACGCCGCGUGAGUGAAGAAGGGUUUCGGCUCGUAAAACUCUGUUGUUAAAGAAGAACAUAUCUGAGAGUAACUGUUCAGG